UUUAAAAGGGAGAAAAACCACAACAGAAGACCAGAGCUCAGUGUGUGGAAGAAACAAUAGGAAAAGAGCAGCUGUGCGGGCUUUUGGUCUCACCAAAACUUGGCUAAUUUAAAUUUAAAUUGGGAAUCUAUCCAUACAAACACAGGGAGGAUACUGAUGGAAACAAGUUGCGAAGAGUCUUGUGAGCAUAGGAAGACUUUGGUUGUCAUUUUUAGCAAGCAGAAAUAUAUCAAAGGGCCACGAGCUGCUGUACCACCGGAGCUGAUGUCACUCUCCAGCCUCUACAUCUGUAAACCACUACAGCCCUCCCUCAUUUGCUUUG